rnacentral:rRNA from 1 species
GACGAACGCUGGCGGCGUGCUUAACACAUGCAAGUCGAACGGAAAGGCCCUGCUUUUGUGGGGUGCUCGAGUGGCGAACGGGUGAGUAACACGUGAGUAACCUGCCCUUGACUUUGGGAUAACUUCAGGAAACUGGGGCUAAUACCGGAUAGGAGCUCCUGCUGCAUGGUGGGGGUUGGAAAGUUUCGGCGGUUGGGGAUGGACUCGCGGCUUAUCAGCUUGUUGGUGGGGUAGUGGCUUACCAAGGCUUUGACGGGUAGCCGGCCUGAGAGGGUGACCGGCCACAUUGGGAAUGAGAUACGGCCCAGACUCCUACGGGAGGCAGCAGUGGGGAAUAUUGCACAAUGGGCGGAAGCCUGAUGCAGCAACGCCGCGUGCGGGAUGACGGCCUUCGGGGUGUAAACCGCUUUCGCCUGUGACGAAGCGUGAGUGACGGUAAUGGGUAAAGAAGCACCGGCUAACUACGUG